CCUGUCUACACAGGUCGGGAUGUGACUCCGCGGCGGAGUUGAACCACACA
rfam:Natronomonas moolapensis 8.8.11 complete genome